GAGACUGCGGUCGCGUCCGAAAUCACAUAGCUAGGCCUACAUGCCUCCAGGUGUAGUCUGCCAAGCAAUGAUAUGAGUUACUGGAGAAGUGAUUACACCGCUAUCAGGAAUGUAGACUACUGUGAGUGGGGGUUGGAUGUUGUCUAUUAUUUAAGACUGUGAUGGCUCAGCUUCAGGCUCCAAAACAGAAGGUUGUGAGUUCAGCUGACCAAGCUGCCACUGCUGAACCCUUGAGCAAGGCUCUUAACCUUUAUCUGCUCAGCUCAAUUGUCGGCUCACAGCACGUUUCACUGGAGGAAUAUGCUGAAUCAGUGUGUCAGAAUCAGUGACAGAAACCACAGGAUUGGGUAUGCAUGAUAGGUGAAAUAAAACAUGAUGCAUUUUAAAAAUAUAUUUUGACAAUUACAUUUGAAAUCUGUGUAAAGUGAUAAAGCCAUGAGUCAUGAUAAGGUUUUAUAUGCUACCAAAUGUAAUUUCAUUAUUCUUUUAUUCAUCUUCAGUAACUACUUUAUCCUCCAUCAGGGUUACAUCAGAUCUGGAGACUAUAGGAACAUUGAGCAUGAGGUGGGAAUAGAUCCAUCACAAGUCAUCACAAGUAUUAUGAUUCGAUAAUUUAAGUAAUUUGUGCUCUUUGAGUUUGUUACUGUCAGAAGGAUAUAUAGAAGUAAUAUAACAUCAGUGCUAUUAAUAACACCAUACAUAAGGAACGUAUUAUUAUACAUACAGAAUUCUUUAAAAAGUACAGUAUGAGUGCAAAAUAAAAGCACCUUCUUAGCUAUGUAUGUAAUGUGUUCUUUCCAAGUUUGAGAUUGCGGUUUUGCAGUGUCAGGUUUAGAUGCAGCUAAAAGAUGCCAUUUGGGAUUAUGGAGGUAAUUUAAUUUCUUUAUUGCGGCAUGUGGCUCAUAAUCCUUUAAUAUUACAACACCUGGUGUUGAGGCAUGUUGUCACACUCAUUUAUAGUCUGUGAAGCCCAAUGUUAAAUACCUUUGAAGUCUUCUGUGAAGUGAGUUGUCAGUAUUUCAACACCCUGUUUCUCAGGCAUCCAUCUCAAAAUACUGAUUGUUUUACAACAUGUCAUUAUUAGGGGCUUUGACUCUGCUGAGCUACUUUGACUUUCACAGGUGAGUGGGGAAUGCACCCCAUCAUCCAGCUGCUGGUGCAAUCAUCCAAACCUUAAUUUAGUUCCAAAGGAUUGCAAGGAGGCCACGAUCCCUCAUAAGUAACAGCUGGGUUUCAUUCAGACCUUUGGACAACUCAGAAGUUAGAUAAAAUUGAAUUUUUUUCAAAUCCACACUUUGAGAAUGCCUCUUCUAAAA